AUUGAACGCUGGCGGAAUGCCUUACACAUGCAAGUCGAACGGCAGCACGGGAGCAAUCCUGGUGGCGAGUGGCGAACGGGUGAGUAAUAUAUCGGAACGUGCCCAGUCGUGGGGGAUAACGUAGCGAAAGCUACGCUAAUACCGCAUACGAUCUAUGGAUGAAAGCGGGGGAUCGCAAGACCUCGCGCGAUUGGAGCGGCCGAUAUCAGAUUAGGUAGUUGGUGAGGUAAAGGCUCACCAAGCCGACGAUCUGUAGCUGGUCUGAGAGGACGACCAGCCACACUGGGACUGAGACACGGCCCAGACUCCUACGGGAGGCAGCAGUGGGGAAUUUUGGACAAUGGGCGCAAGCCUGAUCCAGCAAUGCCGCGUGCAGGAUGAAGGCCUUCGGGUUGUAAACUGCUUUUGUACGGAACGAAACGGCGAGCUCUAAUACAGUUUGCUAAUGACGGUACCGUAAGAAUAAGCACCGGCUAACUACGUGCCAGCAGCCGCGGUAA
rnacentral:rRNA from 1 species